GCCCCGAUCUCGUCUGAUCUCGGAAGCUAAGCAGGGUCGGGCCUGGUUAGGAUCUUUGGGAUGGGUAGACCACCUGGGAAUCCCGGGU
rnacentral:rRNA from 1 species